UGUGCCAGCAGCCGCGGUAAUACGUAGGUGGCAAGCGUUAUCCGGAAUUAUUGGGCGUAAAGCGCGCGUAGGCGGUUUUUUAAGUCUGAUGUGAAAGCCCACGGCUCAACCGUGGAGGGUCAUUGGAAACUGGAAAACUUGAGUGCAGAAGAGGAAAGUGGAAUUCCAUGUGUAGCGGUGAAAUGCGCAGAGAUAUGGAGGAACACCAGUGGCGAAGGCGACUUUCUGGUCUGUAACUGACGCUGAUGUGCGAAAGCGUGGGGAUCAAACAGGAUUAGAUACCCUGGUAGUCCACGCCGUAAACGAUGAGUGCUAAGUGUUAGGGGGUUUCCGCCCCUUAGUGCUGCAGCUAACGCAUUAAGCACU
rnacentral:rRNA from 1 species